CUUGAUCGAGCCCAGCCACAGCGGCUGUUCAGGCUCCCGGUCCUGCCCGUAAGUGGCGAGCAGUGCCUGGGCCUC
rnacentral:antisense_RNA from 1 species